AUACGUACUGUGCGAACGUUAUUCGGAAUCACUGGGCUUACAGGGUGCGUAGGCUGCCGAUCAGGUCUGAUUUGAAAUCCCCCGGCUCAACCGGGGAACUGCGUUGGAAACCGGUCGGCUUGAGUCAGCUAGAGGUACACGGAAUUUCCGGUGGAGCGGUGAAAUGUGUUGAUAUCGGAAGGAACACCAGAGGCGAAGGCGGUGUACUGGGGCUGGUCUGACGCUGAGGCACGAAAGCCAGGGUAGCGAACAGGAUUAGAAACCCUAGUAGUCC
rnacentral:rRNA from 1 species